ensembl:lncRNA
GUCUCAGAUGAGAAUAGGAGAUACUCACAAAAGAGUGGUCUUUUUUGUGUCGUCCGAUUGGUUUCCCCUUUAGCUUUAUACUUCCCAGUUGUGAUCAUGUGAACGCCAUGCUUUGCUGAGGACAUCUGCAGGAUCAAAUGGGAUCAGUAGUUUGCCACAAAGAAGGCAGAGCGGGGCAAUCUGAGAGUCGCACUCAGAGACAAAUACAGGCUUCCAGAAGAUGGUUCAGACGGCCGGGGAAGAUCUUGACCACGCGCGGAGGACCUCGAGAAGAUGGUGGAGGAAGAGGAGAAAGAGGAGGAGAACAACAAGUCCUUUCUGGGGAAGAUUCAAGACUUGGACGUGGACAUUAAAACCAGGGGCCACCAUGAUGGAGGGGAAGCAGGACGCAGAGGAGAGGAGCACUGGGAUGUGAAUGCUGUACGGACAUCCGGGACAUAUGAGAACUGUCUCGUUGCACAUUUUGAGGCUUAAUGUACGAACUGACUUCUAUUGAAGAUAUGCCUCAUUGGUUUACGGACUGCUCCACUGCAGCAGAUGUGUCCAAUGUGACUGGUUUAUGAAUGUUAUAUUUUCAACAUGGCCGUUAUGUGUUCUUUCGCUCUGUAGAGUUGCAGCAUUACAGUUUUCCCAUAUUCCCAUUUUUUUAUUUAUUCAAAUGGUACGAAACGUAUCUUCUUAUAAGGGUUCAACAAAGGGUCCAGUUUAAUGGGCAGUAAAACUUGGUCGGGUCAGGGUAGGUCGGACCUAAUCUAAUCUAAUCUGAGUGGUUGCUGGGUGAGUAUUUACUAGUUGAUGGCUGUUGUGACAAACACCAAGAUUAAAAGAUAAGGAACCGACAGGUUUCAAGGGGUUUUGUCUCUGCUAAUGAGGCCAGAAGCAUUGGCUUAACUGAUAAUC